UCGCUAAGUCGUGCGAAAAUACCGGUUGCUCCGGACAUGCCGAUAGGAUUCCGAGAAAUCGAUUGCAUACCUCGCUGCACCAACUUUUACAUGUGUUUUCUCUCCGUUACCUCGUACAUGUGUUACGAGAAAGAAAGAGAGAGAAAACGAGAGGGAGAGGAAAGGAGGGUGGAUAUGAGAUGGCCGACAAGCUUCUAAAAAAUACCCUCGAAGCGUUACUACCCUCACCAGGUUCGAACGAAGCAAGGAAGAUCGAAACGAAUGGGCCACACGUGUGCUACGUUUUCUUUCCUCCUUUUUUUCUACUUUUUUCUACCCC